CAAUAGCAUAUAUUAACGUUGUUGCAGUUGAAAAGCUCGUAGUUGAACUUUUGGUAGGAGCGACCUGGCCUUGGGCGCAUGCCCUUGUUUGCCGUGUGUCGUAUCUGGCCAUCCUUUUCUUCUUUUUGGAAGGAAUCUUUUACUGUGAGUAAACUGGAGUGCUCAAAACAAGACGUUUGUUUGGUACAUUAAAGCAUGGAAUAAUAAGAUAGGACCUGGUUACUAUUUUGUUGGUUUGCAUAGCUAGGUAAUGAUUAACAGGGACAGUUGGGGGUAUUCGUAUUUAAUUGUCAGGGGUGAAAUUCUUGGAUUUAUGAAAGACGAACGACUGCGAAAGCAUUUACCAAGGAUGUUUNCAUUAA
rnacentral:rRNA from 1 species